rnacentral:rRNA from 1 species
UACGGAGGGUGCAAACGUUGUCCGGAAUCACUGGGCGUAAAGAGCAUGUAGGUGGUUUAGUAAGUGAGCGAUUAAAGACCGACGCCUAACGUCGGGAAGGUUGCUCAUACUGCUAGACUUGAGUAUGGCAGGGGUAAGCGGAACUUUAGGUGUAGGAGUGAAAUCCGUAGAUAUCUAAAGGAACACCAAUGGCGAAGGCAGCUACUGGGCCAUUACUGACACUGAGAUGCGAAAGUGUGGGGAGCAAACGGG